UAAAGUUUUAUAUUAUUUUUUCGGUUUUAUAAUUUACAAAAAAAUUGGGAGCUAUCGUUCCUCAAUUUCUCCCUAUAAUUAGAGGCGUCUAUAAGCCCUAAUCUCAGAAAAUUGGAGUAGAUCUAGGGUUACGCCCGCCUUUAUAUUUUAUUCCAAUUUUUUUCAGAAUUUAUUCUAAAAUCAUUUUUUUGAUGUAAUUGUUGAAGUUGUUGUGCUAUGAUUAUAAAAAAUUCCUCGUUCUGACUUGCUAUCAUGUAGCAUGACAGACUCCUUUACACCCAUAGAAUAUGAGCACCGUUGAUCUGUUAUUUGUAGACAUUUUGAUUCUUGAACUGAUUUGGGUUUUAUCAUAAUUUGAUUUAUUUCAAUCUUAGAGUGCAAUGAUACGCUGGAGAAAUAAUUUAUUUGUUGAUUUUGAUAGUACUCCAGCUUUUGAGGAACAUUUCCACAAGCAUUCAACAUAUGGUAUACUUUUGGUGACGUUGAUUAUACAAGUUCUAUGUUUCUCCAUGUUUCUCCUGCAAAGCGACGGCUUUCUGAUUAUGGUUAAACUUAUAAUGAUUUGUAGUUCAUAAAAAGUUUGAGGUGUCAUGUGUUGCCCAAGGAUUAAGCAAAGUUGAAGCUUCUAUAGAUCUUGCAGGUUAUGGGGACCAAGUUUUUAGUUAAUAGUUCUUUAAAGCUUAUUACUCGAUAUUAUCAAAAUCGAAGGAGCUUGUCUUAGAUGAGUUUUGACUUCUAACAUCCUAUGUACAUGAGAUCAUUUCAUGGGUAUUGCAUGCUGGUGCUCAUACAGAAACUUGAUAUGUGGGUCUCUGGAACGAAUAUUGUCUUCAAGGAAUGGUGACCUACAGAUGAAGGACCAAUGUACUUUGAAAGUUUUCUUUUGGUAGGCUUUUUAACGUAAUCUUCUUUCCUC